rnacentral:rRNA from 1 species
GUGCCAGCCGCCGCGGUAAUACGGAGGGUGCAAGCGUUAAUCGGAAUUACUGGGCGUAAAGCGCACGCAGGCGGUCUGUCAAGUCGGAUGUGAAAUCCCCGGGCUCAACCUGGGAACUGCAUUCGAAACUGGCAGGCUAGAGUCUUGUAGAGGGGGGUAGAAUUCCAGGUGUAGCGGUGAAAUGCGUAGAGAUCUGGAGGAAUACCGGUGGCGAAGGCGGCCCCCUGGACAAAGACUGACGCUCAGGUGCGAAAGCGUGGGGAGCAAACAGGAUUAGAUACCCUGGUAGUCCACGCCGUAAACGAUGUCGACUUGGAGGUUGUGCCCUUGAGGCGUGGCUUCCGGAGCUAACGCGUUAAGUCGACCGCCUGGGGAGUACGGCCGCAAGGUUAAAACUCAAAUGAAUUGACGGGGGCCCGCACAAGCGGUGGAGCAUGUGGUUUAAUUCGAUGCAACGCGAAGAACCUUACCUACUCUUGACAUCCAGAGAACUUAGCAGAGAUGCUUUGGUGCCUUCGGGAACUCUGAGACAGGUGCUGCAUGGCUGUCGUCAGCUCGUGUUGUGAAAUGUUGGGUUAAGUCCCGCAACGAGCGCAACCCUUAUCCUUUGUUGCCAGCGGUUCGGCCGGGAACUCANAGGAGACUGCCAGUGAUAAACUGGAGGAAGGUGGGGAUGACGUCAAGUCAUCAUGGCCC